AAGUUAAUUUGGGAGAGAGCCAAGAAUUCUUUGGGCACAUAGGGGUGAGUCCCUCUACCCACCCUCAGUCCUCACCCCAAGUUGCCCCUGGCACAGAAUUCCUUCGACAAUCCUGAGUGGUUUUAUCGGCAUGUGGAAGCACACAGUCUGUGCUGUGAAUACGAAGCAGUCGGCAAGGACAACCCGGUGGUGCUGUGUGGCUGGAAAGGUAGGGCUGCUUCUUAACUUGUGGCUUCUGGAGGAAACGCUGGGGUUGCUGAAGAGCUGGGACAGAAAGGGAUAGGGGUCCUACAGGGGCAAGGUUGACUGCCGGCUGGAGAGACUCAGGGGUACCAGAUCCUAGGCAAAACUGGGGUUUUGUGGCAGGAGACUGAUAGGGCUUCCUUCCCAGGCUGUACCUGCACCUUCAAGGACCGCAGUAAACUUCGAGAGCACCUCCGCAGCCAUACCCAGGAGAAAGUGGUAGCCUGCCCCACCUGUGGGGGCAUGUUUGCCAACAAUACCAAGUUCUUAGAUCACAUCCGUCGCCAGACCUCAUUGGAUCGUAAGUAGUCAGAGGAAGUGGGGUGGAUGCAGGCUGUCCUGCUUGGAAUGGGUUAGGGGCAUGUUUCUAGUGGGGGUGGCCACUGAAGAGACCUGCCUUUUGGCUGCCUCUUCUUUUUGGGCUCAGGCACCUCCCAUAGUCUCUUUGCUGAUUCAGAUUCGUAGACAUUGUUAUUCAGUACUUACUGUACCUCGUAUCAGUUACUUAGGGAAUCCUCACAACAGCCCCAUGAGGUAGGCUUCUUAUCCCCCUUUUUGCAGAUGAGGAAACUGAGGCUCAGAGAGGUUAAAUCACUUACCUGAGAUCACACAGCUAGUAAGUGGUGAAGCUGGAAUUCUAACUCAGGUUCUCUAAGUCCCAUGCUCUUUCCAUGAUACUGUGUCCAUUCAUAGCUCCCUAAGCUCUCCUUUUCUCCUUGGGUGGUUCCCUUCUGCCUGGGAUGGUUCCCCUCUCCUUUCUGUGCCUCUCCACUAUCCCCUACAGCCGUCCUUUCUUCUGCCUGCCCCACCCCAGAGCAGCACUUCCAGUGUUCUCACUGUUCCAAGAGAUUUGCCACAGAGCGGCUAUUGCGGGACCACAUGCGCAACCAUGUGAAUCACUAUAAGUGCCCUCUGUGUGACAUGACCUGCCCGCUGCCUUCCUCCCUCCGCAACCACAUGCGCUUUCGUCACAGUGAGGACCGGCCCUUUAAAUGUGACUGUUGUGACUACAGCUGCAAGAAUCUUAUUGACCUCCAGAAGCACCUGGAUACCCACAGCGAGGAGCCAGCCUACAGGUGUGAUUUUGAAAACUGCACCUUCAGUGCCCGAUCCCUCUGCUCUAUCAAGUCCCAUUACCGCAAAGUACAUGAAGGAGACUCUGAGCCAAGGUACAAAUGUCAUGUGUGUGACAAAUGCUUCACACGGGGCAACAACCUCACCGUGCACCUUCGCAAGAAGCACCAGUUCAAGUGGCCCUCAGGGCAUCCCCGUUUUCGGUACAAGGAACAUGAAGAUGGCUAUAUGCGGCUGCAGCUGGUUCGCUACGAGAGUGUAGAGCUGACACAGCAACUGCUGCGGCAACCACAAGAGGGAUCGGGCCUGGGAACGUCGCUGAACGAGAGCAGCCUGCAGGGCAUUAUUCUAGAAACAGUGCCAGGGGAGCCAGGACGUAAGGAAGAGGAAGAGGAGGGCAAGGGUAGCGAAGGGACAGCCCUCUCAGCCUCUCAGGACAACCCCAGUUCUGUCAUCCACGUGGUGAAUCAGACCAAUGCCCAAGGCCAGCAAGAGAUUGUCUACUAUGUGCUGUCUGAAGCCCCAGGGGAGCCUCCCCCAGCCCCUGAGCCACCUUCAGGGGGCAUCAUGGAAAAGCUUCAAGGAAUAGCUGAGGAGCCAGAGAUCCAGAUGGUUUGAAGGCCGCAGAGCCAGACCAUUUCUUCCCCAGGUCCUGGAGUUUGAGCCAGGCAAGUGGCAGUGCCCCUAGUGGGCAGCCGUUGCCAAUGGAUGCCUUCAGGAGUGGUGCCGAGAGCAGUGUGGUCCACUCUGGCCUGGGUUUGCAUCAUUCUGCAGACUCUAAAGACUUCCCUUUUCUGCCAGACUACAUUUUGUGGGGAGCCUGAGGACUUUGGAUUCUUUGAGGGGAUCCUGGAUGUGUGUGUUCUUGUUAAAGAGGCUGUUAUCAGGCUUAACCGUAACCCUCAAGAUCUGCUUGACAGUGAUUAAAUCCUUAGCUCACAUCCAUUCCCAUCCUUCGGGCUCCUUAGGCCCAAGGAUGGCAUGUGACUGGUCCCUACAAGGGUCCUUUCUUUGUCACCAGCCAAGGCAUUGAUAACCAAGUAGCCAUUUUCCUCUUAAGGUUUCCUCUACAACCCCAAGGACUUUCAUGAUUAUCCUCAGGGACAGGAUUGGAGGCAUUGAGCGUGUUUAUUAACAAAUUGUUUUUGGUAAUAAAAUAAAUGCUUGGACUCUU
rnacentral:sRNA from 1 species